AAAUUAGUAUAAAUUCAAUCUCCAAGCUCCAAGUGAUAAAUGCCAAUGUAAGGUUAGGAUAAUAUGUAAGAUACAAGAUAGGAUGACAAAGCUAAAACCCCCAAUUUACGUCCUAGUUCCACAUUUUUUAAAUAUUACAAAAAUUCCCUUCAAACUUUUCCUCUCUACCGCAAUCACCAUCCCUUGAUUGUGAUUGCAAUAUUCAUAUCACGAUCAUCAUUUGGUUGACUUAUUGACUAACUGCGAUCGUGACCCUCUAUUUGAGAUCGCAGUAACUGUGUCUACUCCUAGGCCUGUAACUUCAUCUUUUGUUCUUUUUACUUAUAUUUUUUUUCUUUCACCUUCUCCUUAGCUCAUUUUUAUCAAGUUUCCUUGCUCAUCUUGACAUUGCAACUUUUACCUACACAAAUGAGCAUUAAGGAAGAAAGUAACAACAAAUCAAUUAAAAAGAAAGAUAAUUUAGGGUUUAAAAAUGCUAGUAAGUUGUCAAAUUGAAGACUUAUCAUCAUACCAAACUUAAACUGCUAAUUGUCUUCAAGAAACAAAGAUCCAUUCAACAAGAUCGGGUAUUUACCUUAUAUCCACCCAAAAGAAAACUAUACUAAAGGAAUAAGCUAACAAAGCCUUUUCAAACAUGGCAUGGCAAGAAGUAAACAAAAAUUCUCUAAUAAGCACAUAUUAUGAAGCAAGGAGGCAAAUUUGUAUCAAAGGAAUCUUCCAAAUAAACAAAGUACCUUAAGAAGAAAUACAAAUCUUCAAAAAAAUUCUCAAUCAUUACAAUGCAAAUUACUUCACCCAUUUACCCAAACAAAAAGUAAGACUUCACCCUCUACACCAAAGUAUCAAUUUUGCUCACGAGCAAGAGUUAGCUCCAUACACUCAAAAGACAUUAAAAUUUCUAAAGAAGCUCAAAAAAUAAAAUAAUUCACCCUCACUCUCACAAGGAAAUUCAAGUACAAUGAGUAGAACCAUAGGCUUGCCCUUUAUGUUUUUUGCCACUAAUGUAAACUUGCAUAGUUUGGAAUCACCAACGUCUUGCGGGACAAGAUGAAGGUUUGAGGUGCUGGAAGAAUAUAUAUGGAUCAAGUAACUAAAAAAACCUCCUUCAAUACAAUUACUCAAUCCUUUCUACCCCUAAAAUUUUCC
rnacentral:lncRNA from 1 species